rnacentral:rRNA from 1 species
AUUGAACGCUGGCGGCAGGCCUAACACAUGCAAGUCGAGCGGAUGAAGGGAGCUUGCUCCUGGAUUCAGCGGCGGACGGGUGAGUAAUGCCUAGGAAUCUGCCUGGUAGUGGGGGAUAACAUCCGGAAACGGGCGCUAAUACCGCAUACGUCCUGAGGGAGAAAGUGGGGGAUCUUCGGACUUCACGCUAUCAGAUGAGCCUAGGUCGGAUUAGCUAGUUGGUGGGGUAAAGGCCUACCAAGGCGACGAUCCGUAACUGGUCUGAGAGGAUGAUCAGUCACACUGGAACUGAGACACGGUCCAGACUCCUACGGGAGGCAGCAGUGGGGAAUAUUGGACAAUGGGCGAAAGCCUGAUCCAGCCAUGCCGCGUGUGUGAAGAAGGUCUUCGGAUUGGAAAGCACUUUAAGUUGGGAGGAAGGGCAGUAAGUUAAUACCUUGCUGUUUUGACGUUACCAACAGAAUAAGCACCGGCUAACUUCGUG